UGGGGAAUAUUGGACAAUGGGGGGAACCCUGAUCCAGCCAUGCCGCGUGUGUGAAGAAGGCCUUAUGGUUGUAAAGCACUUUAAGCGAGGAGGAGGGUACUGGUAUUAAUACUACCAGCUACUGGACGUUACUCGCAGAAUAAGCACCGGCUAACUCUGUGCCAGCAGCCGCGGUAAUACAGAGGGUGCGAGCGUUAAUCGGAUUUACUGGGCGUAAAGCGUGCGUAGGCGGCUAAUUGAGUCGGAUGUGAAAUCCCCGAGCUUAACUUGGGAAUUGCAUUCGAUACUGGUUAGCUAGAGUGUGGGAGAGGAUGGUAGAAUUCCAGGUGUAGCGGUGAAAUGCGUAGAGAUCUGGAGGAAUACCGGUGGCGAAGGCAGCCAUCUGGCCUAACACUGACGCUGAGGUACGAAAGCAUGGGGAGCAAACAGG
rnacentral:rRNA from 1 species